UGUAAUAUUUCAUUUUGUUUGCGGAAUGAUGAUGCGUUUAGCGUUCUAUUGUUGAUGCGCCGGUGAAUCAUUGUGUAUUUGGAAGUUGUGCUUGAAAUUUUUGGUAUUUAUAUCUACACGUUUAGUGUAUACAUCUGGAUAUUAUGCUAAACCGUACAUGAUGGUAAUUAGUAUAUCAUGGCAAACCUGAUGAAAUGUUCACAGGGGAGAUUUGGUACUUAAUUCAUGAGUCAUAACAAAGGCAUUCCUUUGGUAUAUUGGUUAUUCCACUAGUAUGAAACAUGUUCAGCCAUAUUGUAAUGAUAGGUUCUGAGAGAGAUAAAGAAACGCGGUCUUUAUUCAUAUUGAUUAGCCUGAAUUCUGAGGUACAGAAACAACGAAUGUUUAUCAGUUGUAGUUUUCUAUUUUCAUGUAACUACUUUGCCUGUGGUAUUCUCAUUUCUUUUCCUGCUUUGCUGCACAAACAAGCUUAAGAAGCAGAUGAUCUUCUUUUCUUUUGCCUAUUACUUUUGUUUUGUAUCCAAAGGUUCCUUUGCUUUUUGCAUGCAUGAUAUAUGAUUCUCUAGCUGGUUAGCUAUCUAUGCAUCUUUGUUUUAUAUCCUCACAUGUUGUCGUGGAACAAAGUUAUUGCACCCAAUUUUGCAUUCAAAAGGUUUAUCGAUACAUGCCACUUAAUAUGUGAUUUAUAAAGCAGAGCUAUGUCAGGAAUCCAAAGCAGUACAGGAAAAGCAUAUAGUGUUCCUUCCCUUACAUGUUCAUUUGUGUGGAUUAGGUAUUUCCUGCAUUAGCAUACUCAAUCUUCGUAUUUGGUCUUUCAAGUUGCUGGUAACAAAGCAUGGUGGGGUGAUUUAUAUCACUCUUGGUUUCAAGAAUUUUAAUUGUUGCUGAGUCAAAAAUGAGAAUUGAAGAAAAAAUUGGUUGGUUUAAAUGCUGGAAAUCAAAUGGUGGGUAUUUGAUAAGCUAGGUUGAAAUGGAUUGUUUUUUGUUUGGGCCAAUCUUGACAGAAUAUUAUUUUCUUGGGUGUCAAAGCCAUUGAGAGUUUUGUUCUCCUUAGGUCCAAACUGUGAACUGUAUUGGGCCAGAAAAUGUUUUGAUUGUGCAGGUACAGCUUUCAGUGCCACCUGCUAUGAGCUAUGUGCAAGUUAUUGGUAAUAUACUGAGAUGAUAGUGGUUUGUUUAUCUUGGAUUGAUCUUGGUUAGGUACAAAUAGUAUAUUGGGCCAGAAAUGUUUUUGAUUGAGCAGGCCACACUUUCAGUGCCAUGUGGGAUGAGCUAAGCACACAUUAUCGGUAAGACACUAAGAUGACAGUGGUUUUGUUGUCUUGGAUUGAUCUUGGUUCCUUCAAUUGGGUUGGUUAGUAGUUCUUGUUGGCUGUUGCAUGUAGGACUUGGGUCAUAUUUCAAUUUAUUACCAGUAAAGAUUGCUUGUUUGACAACUGUUCUGUUUGUCAGGAGGUGAGUGAUUGUUUUGGUUGUAUCUAAGUAUUAUUCUUGUCUCUGCACUUAGACCACCAUCAUAUGUGUUAUUCUAGAUCGCAAUUGGUUCUUCAUUUUGCUCUACUCUCAGCUUUAUUUUGUCUAAAAAAAUAUAUUCUUCGAAGGAAAAUUUCCACAUCAUGUACCAAGAAACGAUGCUACUCAAACUGAUGAUGAGGAAAGCUAAUCCACUGAUGCUACUUUACCAAUCUACCCAGGGCUCCAAGAGGUGGCAGCUCGGAGCUGUGAAACACCACUGAUGGUUGUACAUAUGGUUGUACAUAUAGAAGCUAGGGAGCCCAGCAACAAUGAAUCCCCCCUCUUUCAUUUAGUCGCUGGAAUAUGAUGCUUGCGCACUGCCAGGCAAAAGCCACGAAUGUAAUUCUUUGUAUUUCGCAGAACCCGGUGCGCGAGCACCUGAACAUGGGGGUGUUUCCCUAUAAUGGAAGAUUCUCAGUAGCUGCGAUGCUUGAUGUAAUAGUCCUAGUACCAUGUUUUUCCUUUUGAAUAAAAACAUGCGCUGGGCUUGAACCGUUGCGGCACAUGACAGGUAUCGAUGUGUAACGUCCAUUUGGUUGCUGUGUGUUCUUUCGUACUUAA